rnacentral:rRNA from 1 species
CGAAGAUACCAGCUGGCUGCAACUGUUUAUUAAAAACACAGCACUGUGCAAACACGAAAGUGGACGUAUACGGUGUGACGCCUGCCCGGUGCCGGAAGGUUAAUUGAUGGGGUCAGCGCAAGCGAAGCUCUUGAUCGAAGCCCCGGUAAACGGCGGCCGUAACUAUAACGGUCCUAAGGUAGCGAAAUUCCUUGUCGGGUAAGUUCCGACCUGCACGAAUGGCGUAAUGAUGGCCAGGCUGUCUCCACCCGAGACUCAGUGAAAUUGAACUCGCUGUGAAGAUGCAGUGUACCCGCGGCAAGACGGAAAGACCCCGUGAACCUUUACUAUAGCUUGACACUGAACAUUGAGCCUUGAUGUGUAGGAUAGGUGGGAGGCUUAGAAGUGUGGACGCCAGUCUGCAUGGAGCCGACCUUGAAAUACCACCCUUUAAUGUUUGAUGUUCUAACGUUGACCCGUAAUCCGGGUUGCGGACAGUGUCUGGUGGGUAGUUUGACUGGGGCGGUCUCCUCCUAAAGAGUAACGGAGGAGCACGAAGGUUGGCUAAUCCUGGUCGGACAUCAGGAGGUUAGUGCAAUGGCAUAAGCCAGCUUGACUGCGAGCGUGACGGCGCGAGCAGGUGCGAAAGCAGGUCAUAGUGAUCCGGUGGUUCUGAAUGGAAGGGCCAUCGCUCAACGGAUAAAAGGUACUCCGGGGAUAACAGGCUGAUACCGCCCAAGAGUUCAUAUCGACGGCGGUGUUUGGCACCUCGAUGUCGGCUCAUCACAUCCUGGGGCUGAAGUAGGUCCCAAGGGUAUGGCUGUUCGCCAUUUAAAGUGGUACGCGAGCUGGGUUUAGAACGUCGUGAGACAGUUCGGUCCCUAUCUGCCGUGGGCGCUGGAGAACUGAGGGGGGCUGCUCCUAGUACGAGAGGACCGGAGUGGACGCAUCACUGGUGUUCGGGUUGUCAUGCCAAUGGCACUGCCCGGUAGCUAAAUGCGGAAGAGAUAAGUGCUGAAAGCAUCUAAGCACGAAACUUGCCCCGAGAUGAGUUCUCCCUGACUCCUUGAGAGUCCUGAAGGAACGUUGAAGACGACGACGUUGAUAGGCCGGGUGUGUAAGCGCAGCGAUGCGUUGAGCUAACCGGUACUAAUGAACCGUGAGGCUUAACCUUACAACGCCGAAG